UCAGACGAUGCGUCAUGCAUAUCAAUAAGCGGAGGAAAAGAAACUAACAAGGAUUCCCCUAGUAACGGCGAGUGAAGCGGGAAGAGCUCAAAUUUGAAAUCUUAAAGGGUUUCCCUUUACGAAUUGUAGUUUAAAGAAGUGUUUUCUGUUGAGGUUUUGGUAAAAGUUCUUUGGAAUAGGACAUCAUAGAGGGUGAGAAUCCCGUAUUUGACCUUUACUUUCAACUUUGUGAUACACUUUCAAAGAGUCGGAUUGUUUGGGAAUGCAGUCCAAAAUGGGUGGUAAAUUUCAUCUAAAGCUAAAUAUUGGCGAGAGACCGAUAGCGAACAAGUACCGUGAGGGAAAGAUGAAAAGAACUUUGAAAAGAGAGUUAAACAGUACGUGAAAUUGUCAAAAGGGAAGCGUUUGACACCAGUGUUGUUUUUCUGAAAAUCAAUUAAAGAACUGUUUAUGCUAAGCUGUUUAGACUUUAUCAGCUAUCUGUUUAGUUUUGAGCUUUUCUUUAAUGCACUUUUCAGUUAACAAGUCAACAUCAAUUUCUUUUGCUGUAAAAAAGCUUGAGGAAGGUGGCUUGAGAUUCGUCUUAAGUGUUUAUAGCCUCUUGCCUAUGCAGUCGGAGAGAUUGAGGUCUGCAGCGUAGAUCCUUCGGGGCUAAACGCAUUUGUGCUAAGUUAUAGCAUUUUAUAGACAACUUGUUGACUAUGAUUUGUCUUGUAGCUUACUCGCUUAUGUUAUUUUACCUACGCUUAGGAUGUUGACACACGCGCGUGCUCG
rnacentral:rRNA from 1 species